rnacentral:rRNA from 1 species
UACGGGGGGGGCGAGCGUUGUUCGGAAUUACUGGGCGUAAAGGGCGCGUAGGCGGCCUGGGAAGUCUUGGGUGAAAGCCCCCGGCUCAACUGGGGAAGCGCCUGAGAAACCACUGGGCUGGAGUGCUGGAGAGGGAAGCGGAAUUCCUGGUGUAGCGGUGAAAUGCGUAGAGAUCAGGAGGAACAUCUGUGGCGAAGGCGGCUUCCUGGACAGACACUGACGCUGAGGCGCGAAAGCUAGGGGAGCAAAC